CAGCCGUAAACUAUGCGCGUUAGGUGUACUGGUGACCACGAGUCACCGGGGUGCCGAAGGGAAACCGUGAAACGUGCCGCCUGGGAAGUACGGUCGCAAGGCUGAAACUUAAAGGAAUUGGCGGGGGAGCACCACAACGGGGUGGAGCCUGCGGUUUAAUUGGACUCAACGCCGGAAAUCUCACCGGAUAGGGACAGACAUAUGAUAGUCGGGCUGAAGACUCUACUUGAUGAUCUGAGAGGAGGUGCAUGGCGUCAGUGACUGU
rnacentral:rRNA from 1 species